CGUUCUGUAAGCCUGUGAAGGUGUGCUGUGAGGCAUGCUGGAGGUAUCAGAAGUGCGAAUGCUGACAUAAGUAACGAUAAAGCGGGUGAAAAGCCCGCUCGCCGGAAGACCAAGGGUUCCUGUCCAACGUUAAUCGGGGCAGGGUGAGUCGACCCCUAAGGCGAGGCCGAAAGGCGUAGUCGAUGGGAAACAGGUUAAUAUUCCUGUACUUGGUGUUACUGCGAAGGGGGGACGGAGAAGGCUAUGUUGGCCGGGCGACGGUUGUCCCGGUUUAAGCGUGUAGGCUGGUUUUCCAGGCAAAUCCGGAAAAUCAAGGCUGAGGCGUGAUGACGAGGCACUACGGUGCUGAAGCAACAAAUGCCCUGCUUCCAGGAAAAGCCUCUAAGCAUCAGGUAACAUCAAAUCGUACCCCAAACCGACACAGGUGGUCAGGUAGAGAAUACCAAGGCGCUUGAGAGAACUCGGGUGAAGGAACUAGGCAAAAUGGUGCCGUAACUU
rnacentral:rRNA from 1 species